rnacentral:rRNA from 1 species
GACGAACGCUGGCGGCGUGCCUAAUACAUGCAAGUCGAGCGGAUUCUUCCUUCGGGAAGGGUUAGCGGCGGACGGGUGAGUAACACGUAGGCAACCUGCCUGCAAGACUGGGAUAACUAACGGAAACGUUAGCUAAUACCGGAUACGCGGUUGGAUCGCAUGAUCCGACUGGGAAAGAGGGUUUCGGCUCUCACUUGCAGAUGGGCCUGCGGCGCAUUAGCUAGUUGGUGGGGUAACGGCGCACCAAGGCGACGAUGCGUAGCCGACCUGAGAGGGUGGAUCGGCCACACUGGGACUGAGACACGGCCCAGACUCCUACGGGAGGGCAGCAGUAGGGAAUCUUCCGCAAUGGACGAAAGUCUGACGGAGCAACGCCGCGUGAGUGAUGAAGGUUC